GACGAACGCUGGCGGCGUGCUUAACACAUGCAAGUCGAGCGGUAAGGCCCUUUCGGGGGUACACGAGCGGCGAACGGGUGAGUAACACGUGGGUGACCUGCCCUCAGCUCUGGGAUAAGCCUGGGAAACCGGGUCUAAUACCGGAUAUGACUCCAUGACGCAUGUUGUGGGGUGGAAAGCCUUGUGCGGCUGAGGAUGGGCCCGCGGCCUAUCAGCUUGUUGGUGGGGUGAUGGCCUACCAAGGCGACGACGGGUAGCCGGCCUGAGAGGGCGACCGGCCACACUGGGACUGAGACACGGCCCAGACUCCCACGGGAGGCAGCAGUGGGGAAUAUUGGACAAUGGGCGCAAGCCUGAUCCAGCGAUGCCGCGUGUGUGAAGAAGGCCUGC
rnacentral:rRNA from 1 species